rnacentral:rRNA from 1 species
UACGUAGGGGGCGAGCGUUGUCCGGAAUUACUAGGCGUAAGGGGCAGGCAGGCGGAUCCAUAGGUUUAUCGUUUAAGGCGUCGGCUUAACCGGCGUAGGGCGGUAGAUACUGUGGAUCUGGAAUGCGGUUGGGGAAGACAGAAUUCCUGGUGUAGCGGUGGAAUGCGCAGAGAUCAGGAGGAAUACCGAAGGCGAAGGCAGUCUUCCAAGCCGUUAUUGACGCUCAACUGCGAAGGUGUGGGUAUCAAACAGGAUUAGAUACCCGUGUAGUACCUGAG